rnacentral:tRNA from 1 species
GCCAGUAUAACAUAGUGGUUUGAGUGUUGGGCUAUGACUCUGGAGACCAAGGUUCAAUUCCUAGCUUGGCCA